rnacentral:rRNA from 1 species
CUACGGGGGGCAGCAGUCGGGAAUAUUGGACAAUGGGGGAAACCCUGAUCCAGCCAUGCCGCGUGUGUGAGGAAGGCCCUAGGGUUGUAAAGCACUUUUAGUAGUGAGGAAGGCUCAGUAGUUAAUACCUGCUGGGAUUGACGUUAGCUACAGAAAAAGCACCGGCUAAUUUCGUGCCAGCAGCCGCGGUAAUACGAAAGGUGCAAGCGUUAAUCGGAAUUACUGGGCGUAAAGCGCGCGUAGGCGGCUUGGUAAGUUGGAUGUGAAAGCCCCGGGCUCAACCUGGGAACUGCAUCCAAAACUGCCUAGCUAGAGUAUGGUAGAGGAUGGCGGAAUUUCCUGUGUAGCGGUGAAAUGCGUAGAUAUAGGAAGGAACAUCAGUGGCGAAGGCGGCCAUCUGGACCAAUACUGACGCUGAGGUGCGAAAGCGUGGGGAGCAAACAGGGUUAGAUACCCUUGUAGUC